rnacentral:lncRNA from 14 species
AGAUGUUUUAUUCUAUGUCAAAGAACUGGAGUAGAGAAAUGAAUGUUGCUGGCAGAUAGUGAAACAGAUCACAGCCCCACCAUGUUUGCUUGCUCCUGUUCCAUGCUCCAUCCAUUGCUCCUGAGGUGCCUCUCCUAAUGCAGAAAGUUACAGAACCCUCAGACUGCGUAUUUGACACCUAGUUUAAUCAAGAAAUGUGCUUCAGAAAAGUCAACUCAUGAGGGAGAGGAGAAAGGUGUAAGCCAGGAGAUUCCCUUGGCCUUUGAGGAUACCACACUUGAGGAUGCAGAAUCUGCUGUGAGUUCUUGGAAUGGAAGACUGAAAGUCAGCGUUGUGCACAGCUAGAAGAAGCUCACACUGCCAUGCAUGCAGUGAUUAUCCAGCAGAGCAAACAGCUGGUCUGUCACUUUUGUGUUUUC